UGAAUACGAGACGCUAAGGCGUCGAAGUAGUGUAUGUCAUACUUCCAAGAAAAGCUUGCACUGUCAUAGAUAAAAAACGCCUGUACCAUAACCGACACAGGUGGGUAGGUAGAGUAUACUAAGGGGCGCGAGAUAACUCUCUCUAAGGAACUCGGCAAAAUAACUCCGUAACUUCGGGAGAAGGAGUGCCUUAUUAUUAAGGCUGCAAUAACAAGAUCCAAGCAACUGUUUAUCAAAAACACAGGUCUCCGCUAAGUCGUAAGACGAUGUAUGGGGGCUGACGCCUGCCCAGUGCCAGAAGGUUAAAGAAGUUGGUUAGCAUUUGCGAAGCUGAUAACUGAAGCCCUGGUGAACGGCGGCCGUAACAAUAACGGUCCUAAGGUAGCGAAAUUCCUUGUCGGGUAAGUUCCGACCCGCACGAAAGGCGAAAUGAUUUGGAUACUGUCUCGGAGAGGGGCUCGGUGAAAUAGACUUGUCUGUGAAGAUGCGGACUACCUGCACCAGGACAGAAAGACCCUAUGAAGCUUUACUGUAACUUGAAAUUGAAAUUGGACUUUAUUCGCGCAGCAUAGGUGGGAGGCGUUGAUUAUAAUCUUGUGGGAUUAUUGGAGCCAUCAGUGAGAUACCACUCUUGUAAUGUUAGAUUUCUAACUUUGAAUCAUUAUCUGGUCAAAGAACAGUUUCAGGCGGGCAGUUUGACUGGGGCGGUCGCCUCCUAAACGGUAACGGAGGCGUACAAAGGUUUCCUCUGAACGGUUAGAAAUCGUAUCUAGAGUGUAAAGGCAUAAGGAAGCUUGACUGUGAGACCUACAAGUCGAGCAGGGACGAAAGUCGGUCUUAGUGAUCUGACGGUACUGAGUGGAAAGGCCGUCACUCAACGGAUAAAAGUUACUCUAGGAUAACAGGCUGAUCUCCCCCAAGAGUUCACAUCGACGGGGGGGUUUGGCACCUCAAUGUCGGCUCAUCGCAUCCUGGGGCGGUAGUACGUCCCAAGGGUUGGGCUGUUCGCCCAUGAAAGCGGUACGCGAGCUGGGUUCAGAACGUCGUGAGACAGUUCGGUCCAUAUCCGGUGUAGGCGUUAGAAUAUUGAGAGGAGCCUUCUUUAGUACGAGAGGACCGAGAAGGACAUACCUCUGGUGUACCAGUUAUCGUGCCAACGGUAAACGCUGGGUAGCUAUGUAUGGAGUGGAUAACCGCUGAAAGCAUCUAAGUGGGAAGCCCACCUCAAGAUAAGUA
rnacentral:rRNA from 1 species